rnacentral:rRNA from 1 species
CACGUAGGGCGCAAGCGUUGUCCGGAUUUAUUGGGCGUAAAGAGCUCGUAGGCGGCUUGUUACGUCGUUCGUGAAAACUUGGGGCUCAACCCCAAGCUUGCGGUCGAUACGGGCAGGCUAGAGUUCGGUAGGGGAGACUGGAAUUCCUGGUGUAGCGGUGAAAUGCGCAGAUAUCAGGAGGAACACCGGUGGCGAAGGCGGGUCUCUGGGCCGAUACUGACGCUGAGGAGCGAAAGCGUGGGGAGCGAACAGG